GACGAACGCUGGCGGCGUGCUUAACACAUGCAAGUCGAGCGGUAAGGCCCUUUCGGGGGUACACGAGCGGCGAACGGGUGAGUAACACGUGGGUGACCUGCCCUCAGCUCUGGGAUAAGCCUGGGAAACCGGGUCUAAUACUGGAUAUGACUCCAUGACGCAUGUUGUGGGGUGGAAAGCCUUGUGCGGCUGAGGAUGGGCCCGCGGCCUAUCAGCUUGUUGGUGGGGNGAUGGCCUACCAAGGCGACGACGGGUAGCCGGCCUGAGAGGGCGACCGGCCACACCGGGACUGAGACACGGCCCAGACUCCUACGGGAGGCAGCAGUAGGGAAUCUUGCGCAAUGGGCGAAAGCCUGACGCAGCCAUGCCGCGUGAAUGAUGAAGGUC
rnacentral:rRNA from 1 species